rnacentral:rRNA from 1 species
GACGUAGGGCGCGAGCGUUGUCCGGAUUUAUUGGGCGUAAAGAGCUCGUAGGCGGCUUGUUACGUCGUUCGUGAAAACUUGGGGCUCAACCCCAAGCUUGCGGUCGAUACGGGCAGGCUAGAGUUCGGUAGGGGAGACUGGAAUUCCUGGUGUAGCGGUGAAAUGCGCAGAUAUCAGGAGGAACACCGAUGGCGAAGGCAGAUCUCUGGGCCGUAACUGACGCUGAGGAGCGAAAGCGUGGGGAGCGAACAGG